CACCCGGUAGCACACGGUGUGCAUCUGCUCUGCUUUCAGGGCGUUUUCAAAACCCUAAGUUUACAAGCAGAAGGCCCUCGUUCGAUUCGGGGUCGGUUGA